ensembl:lncRNA
UGCUGGUGGUGCUGGACUCCACCGCCGAGAGGGACCAGCUGGACGAGCCGCUGACCUCCGACCCCUGGGCAGCCAGCGGGGAUCCGGCUCGCGGUCUGCGGUUCCAGUUGGCCCGCUACAGGCCGGGCGACCUGGGCUUCGUGCCCCGGCCAGCGCCGAAGCACCGGCCCGUCGUCUGCAGGGCGGGAGCAGCCGGGUCCGCGGAGUUAAAAAAGAAGCCGUCCAGCUCCGUCAAGCAGGCGGACGCAGCAGUCGGACUUCAGACCUGCGGGAAGCUCCUUACGAGACCCCAAUAACCACCAGCGUCCUCGUCAAGACGCCUUGUCCCACCCGUUUGUACGCCGUCGCCAUCCAGUCCAGCCGCACGUUAGAAAUAAGAAUGAGGACCCAGAGUCUCUCAUGAAUUCAACUUUUGUUUCCGCAUUCCAAAAAAUUCUCACUAAAAGAAGAGUACUAAAACGUGAAUAUGUGGACAAUUUAGAGCUCAUGAAGUUUGGGUUCCUCUUACAUCUUCGGAUUGUGUUUUUUGAUGAG